rnacentral:rRNA from 1 species
UACGAGUACCCCAAGCGUUAUCCGGAAUCAUUGGGCGUAAAGGGCGCGUAGGUGGUUCUGUAUGUCUACCGUGAAAGCGUACGGCUCAACCGUAUUUUGUCGGUGGAAACUGCAGGACUUGAGGCUGGGAGGGGCUGGUGGAAUUCCCUGUGUAGCGGUGAAAUGCGUAGAGAUGGGGGAGAACACUCGUGGCGAAGGCGGCCAGCUGGGCAGUAGCUGACGCUGAUGCGCGACAGCGUGGGGAGCAAACAGG